UGCUGGAUAGCUCACUUGGUAAAGCAUCCCAUUGCAAAGUAGAAGUGACUAUCACGUCGCGGGUUCGAUCCCCCCCUCAUACCAA